GAAAGAAAUUAUGAAGCACCAGAACCACCAACAUUGGAAGCAAUGGAGAUCUGGAUGUUUGGGGGGAAGAGGAAGAGUUGGAGAGCAUGACCAGUGCACAUCAAUGAUGCAAUAUCCACAAGGAAACUGGAGAAACAGCUUCCAGAAAGGCCGUAUGAUAUGUGAUAGAAGGACCCUGCUUCAUGAUCUCAAAGAACCAUCCCAUAUAACAAAUAACAUUUUUCAAAGAAGAAGAAAAGACAUUGAAGAAGUCUGAAAACACAUGCAAUAUGUAAUCUUUAUACACUUCCCAACUCAACAAAGAGAUGUGUUGUGGG
rnacentral:lncRNA from 1 species